rnacentral:rRNA from 1 species
GUCAACGGUCAUACCACGUUGAAAAUACCAGUUCUCGUCCGAUCACUGCAGUCAAGCAACGUUGGGCAUGGUUAGUACUUGGAUGGGUGACCGCUUAGGAAUACCAUGUACUGUUGACA